GACGAACGCUGGCGGCGUGCUUAACACAUGCAAGUCGAACGAAGCUUGAUUACGGAUUCUUCGGAUGAAGUAUGAUAUGACUGAGUGGCGGACGGGUGAGUAACGCGUGAGUAACCUGCCCUUCAGAGGGGGAUAGCGUUUGGAAACGAACGGUAAUACCGCAUAAUGUAUUUUGACCGCAUGAUCGAAAUACCAAAGAUUUAUCGCUGAAGGAUGGACUCGCGUCUGAUUAGGUAGUUGGUGGGGUAACGGCCUACCAAGCCGACGAUCAGUAGCCGGACUGAGAGGUUGAUCGGCCACAUUGGGACUGAGACACGGCCCAGACUCCUACGGGAGGCAGCAGUGGGGAAUAUUGCACAAUGGGCGCAAGCCUGAUGCAGCAACGCCGCGUGAAGGAAGACGGUUUUCGGAUUGGAAACUUCUGUUCUUAGGGAAGAAUAACGACGGUAGCUAAGGAGCAAGCCACGGCUAACUACGUG
rnacentral:rRNA from 1 species